AAGAUUCUAAUAAGAUAUAAAUGUUAUGAAGAUCAUACAUGCUAUUCAUAAACGCUCGAUGAAAUGUUUUGAUUUUUUCUGUGUAAUUUUUUAAAGCCCGCGUUUCGUGGAUUAAAUAAACGGCAUUACCAGUUCGACGUUCGGUACUUUCAAGGAACUCGUUUCAACCUUCACACUUGUGCCGUUAUAAUAUAUCGCUGUUAGGAUGACUUCGAGAAGCGGCAGCAGUUUCAGCUUGUUGUCCAUCAUCAUCCGUCACACGUGUUCAUAGGUCGGGUUCAUCAAUUUGAACGGAGGGAGAGAUCGAUUUCCUUCGCUCGGUCUUAAGAUAAUACGGCCGGAAGUGGCGCCGUUCUCACAUCUAUAAUAACACCGUAACGGAACCAGCAAUGACGGACACCAUGUCAAACGAACUCUCUUUCGUUAAUGUUUAUUACAGUUUGAGGACCGGUAUUUUUGAGUAACACGUAUAUCGGCUUACAUAAAAACGUAGGAUCGGUUGCGUUUCCCUGAUUAAGAUCUUUGAGCUUAAAUAGUGAUAAAUUAAGGCAUACUAUGAAACGUGAUUGCCAGGUUCCGGUAAGCGAAUAAAAGGUGUGUAAUGAUUAGCUCUCAGCUCCAUUGCCAGUUACAAGGAUCCUGCUACUUACGUGACUCAGCGUGCAAUGUUAUCAAGAAUUUUUUUAGCAUGAAAGUCCUAAUAAAAAAAAUAUGUAAAAUUGAAAUUUUACAUUAAAAUAAUUUUUUUUGUAAUUCUAUAAAUUCUUCGAUCAACUUAAUUUUGGUUCCCAAAUCUCUUUAUAUUUUUGCAAAUGUUUAAACAUGAUAUUUAUAUUUCCUAAUUCCUAAAUCCUCUCAUUCAAGGAUUCUUAAACUUAUAUAUUGCUU